UACGUAUGGUGCAAGCGUUAUCCGGAUUUACUGGGUGUAAAGGGAGCGUAGACGGCCAGACAAGUCUGAAGUGAAAAUCCAGCGCUUAACGUUGGAAGUGCUUUGGAAACUGCCGGGCUAGAGUGCAGGAGGGGCAGGCGGAAUUCCUAGUGUAGCGGUGAAAUGCGUAGAUAUUAGGAGGAACACCAGUGGCGAAAGCGGCCUGCUGGACUGCAACUGACGUUGAGGCUCGAAGGCGUGGGGAGCAAACAGG
rnacentral:rRNA from 1 species